GCAAGAGUGGCGGAAUUGGCAGACGCACCGGACUCAAAAUCCGGCGGGCUCAACACCCGUGCGGGUUCGACCCCCGCCUCUUGCA
rnacentral:tRNA from 1 species